UGGAAGUAAAAGUCGUAACAAGGUCUCCGUUGGUGAACCAGCGGAGGGAUCAUUACCGAGUUUACAACUCCCAAACCCCUGUGAACAUACCUAUUGUUGCCUCGGCGGAUCAGCCCGGCCCCGGUAAAACGGGACGGCCCGCCAGAGGACCCUAAACUCUGUUUUUAGUGUAACUUCUGAGUAAAACAAACAAAUAAAUCAAAACUUUCAACAACGGAUCUCUUGGUUCUGGCAUCGAUGAAGAACGCAGCAAAAUGCGAUAAGUAAUGUGAAUUGCAGAAUUCAGUGAAUCAUCGAAUCUUUGAACGCACAUUGCGCCCGCCAGUAUUCUGGCGGGCAUGCCUGUUCGAGCGUCAUUUCAACCCUCAAGCACAGCUUGGUGUUGGGAUUCGUAGUUCUGAACUACGGUCCCCAAAUCUAUUGGCGGUCACGUCGAGCUUCCAUAGCGUAGUAAUUACACCUCGUUACUGGUAAUCGUCGCGGCCACGCCGUUAAACCCCAACUUCUGAAYGUUGACCUCGGAUCWUGUAKGAAUACCCGCUGAGCUUCAAGCAUAUCAAUAAUSGGANGA
rnacentral:rRNA from 1 species